ACGUACACUCCUGCGGGAGGCAGCAGUGGGGAAUAUUGGACAAUGGGCGCAAGCCUGAUCCAGCCAUGCCGCGUGAGUGAUGAAGGCCCUAGGGUUGUAAAGCUCUUUCACCGGAGAAGAUAAUGACGGUAUCCGGAGAAGAAGCCCCGGCUAACUUCGUGCCAGCAGCCGCGGUAAUACGAAGGGGGCUAGCGUUGUUCGGAAUUACUGGGCGUAAAGCGCACGUAGGCGGAUCGAUCAGUCAGGGGUGAAAUCCCAGGGCUCAACCCUGGAACUGCCUUUGAUACUGUCGAUCUGGAGUAUGGAAGAGGUGAGUGGAAUUCCGAGUGUAGAGGUGAAAUUCGUAGAUAUUCGGAGGAACACCAGUGGCGAAGGCGGCUCACUGGUCCAUUACUGACGCCGAGGUGCGAAAGCGUGGGGAGCAAACAGGAUUAGAUACCCCGGUAGUCCC
rnacentral:rRNA from 1 species